CUUUCAACAACGGAUCUCUUGGUUCCAGCAUCGAUGAAGAACGCAGCGAAAUGCGAUAAGUAAUGUGAAUUGCAGAAUUCAGUGAAUCAUCGAGUCUUUGAACGCACAUUGCGCCCCUCGGCAUUCCGGGGGG
rnacentral:rRNA from 1 species